rnacentral:rRNA from 1 species
UACAGAGGUCUCAAGCGUUGUUCGGAUUCAUUGGGCGUAAAGGGUGCGUAGGCGGCGGGGUAAGUCGGGGGGGAAAUCUCGGAGCUUAACUCCGAAACUGCAUUCGAUACUGCCGUGCUUGAGGACUGGAGAGGAGACUGGAAUUUACGGUGUAGCGGUGAAAUGCGUAGAUAUCGGGAAGAACACCCGUGGCGAAGGCGGUUCUCUGGGACGGUACUGACGCUGAGACGCGAAAGCGUGGGGAGCGAACAGG